AUGCACGCUGACAGAAUGCUUCACCCAUGCAAGUCAACUUGAACUUCGGUUUGGGUGGCGGACGGGUGAGUAACGCGUAAAGAACUUGCCUCACAGCUAGGGACAACAUUUGGAAACGAAUGCUAAUACCUGAUAUUAUGAUUUUAGGGCAUCCUAGAAUUAUGAAAGCUAUAUGCGCUGUGAGAGAGCUUUGCGUCCCAUUAGCUAGUUGGAGAGGUAACGGCUCACCAAGGCGAUGAUGGGUAGCCGGCCUGAGAGGGUGAACGGCCACAAGGGGACUGAGACACGGCCCUUACUCCUACGGGAGGCAGCAGUGGGGAAUAUUGGACAAUGGACCAAGAGUCUGAUCCAGCAAUUCUGUGUGCACGAUGAAGUUUUUCGGAAUGUAAAGUGCUUUCAGUUGGGAAGAAAAAAAUGACGGUACCAACAGAAGAAGUGACGGCUAAAUACGUG
rnacentral:rRNA from 1 species